rnacentral:rRNA from 1 species
GACGAACGCUGGCGGCGUGCUUAACACAUGCAAGUCGAACGGAAAGGCCCUGCUUUUGUGGGGUGCUCGAGUGGCGAACGGGUGAGUAACACGUGAGUAACCUGCCCUUGACUUUGGGAUAACUUCAGGAAACUGGGGCUAAUACCGGAUAGGAGCUCCUGCUGCAUGGUGGGGGUUGGAAAGUUUCGGCGGUUGGGGAUGGACUCGCGGCUUAUCAGCUUGUUGGUGGGGUAGUGGCUUACCAAGGCUUUGACGGGUAGCCGGCCUGAGAGGGUGACCGGCCACAUUGGGACUGAGAUACGGCCAAGACUCCUACGGGAGGAAGCAGUGGGGAAUAUUGCACAAUGGGCGGAAGCCUGAUGCAGCAACGACGCGUGAGGGAUGACGGCCUUCGGGUUGUAAACCGCUUUCGCCUGUGACGAAGCGUGAGUGACGGUAAUGGGUAAAGAAGCACCGGCUAACUACGUG